CAUCCACGCCAAUCCUCCUCUUUUUGCUGAGGAAGACUGGCCCUGGGCUAACAUCCGUGCCCAUCUUCCUCCACUUUGUAUGGGACGCCGCCACAGCAUGGCUUGACCAGCGGUGUGUUGGUCUGCGCCCGGGAUCCAAACCUGCAAAUCCCGGGCUGCCAAAGUGGAGCGCAGGAGUUUAACUGCUAUGCCACCAGCCCAGCCCCAAUUCAUCCUUUUUAAUGUAGAGUUUUGUGAGUUUUGACAAAGGCGUAUCAUUAUACAACCAUCACGACAAUCAAGAUAUGGAAUAUUUUAUUACCCAAUAAGUUCUCUCAUGCCCCUUUUUAGUCUAUCUUCUUCUUCACUCCCCGCCAUUGGUAACCACUGAUCUGUUUUCUGUCCUUAUAGUUUUGUUUUUUCCAGAAUAGCAUAUAAAUGAAAUUAUAUGUCAUAUGAGUGAAUAAUAAGUACGCAGCCAUCUGAGUAUGGCUUCUUUCACUUACCAUAAUAAAGUUGAGAUUCGUCAAUGUCGUAGUCUGUAUCAGUUGCUCAUUCCCUUUAUUUCUGAGUAGUAAUCUGUCACGUGAAUGUACCACAGAGUCUCUACACGUUCACAAGUGCAAGAACAUUUAGGUGGCGUCCAGUGUUUUGUGAUUUUUGAAUAAAACUUCUGAAGACAUUACUGUAAAAGUUUUUGUGUGAACCUAAGUUUUCAUUUGUCUCGGGCAAAUAUCUAAGAGUGAGAAUUCUGGUCACGUGAUGUGAAUUUUUAUCUUUAUAAGAAACUGUCAAACUGUUUUCUUAGAUGGUUGUAUUAUUUAGCAUCCGCACAAGCAAAGCAUGCAAGCUCUAGUUCCUUUGAUAUUUGUCAGGUAUGGGUAUAUUAUUUUUUUAAGUUUGUACAGACUAAGAUCUGCUUAGUGGUAUUCCAGUGCUGUUAACUGGCUUUUCCCCAAUGAAUACUGACGUUGAGCAUCUUUUCAUGGGCUUAUUUUCCAUCCAUAUAUCUUUUUGGUGAAGUUACUAAUCUUCAAAUAUUUGGAAAGUCCGCAACUGCACCAGUAAGUGAGGCUAUCUCUAUUUAAUCUCUCUUCCUGUCCCAUUGCUCUCUUGAGCACCCAGUGGAGGACCAUGAAGAGCCUGUAGAGGGUGUGAACUGCUCUCUCCUCUGCAGCUCCUCGGGGAUCUACACUGUAACAUAGCCCAGACUUGACCAUUUGCAAUUUGUUACCACUUUGGUCUGAUUUCUUCUCACCUGCUUGUAUGGCCCCAGUCCCUCUUCCUGCAGUGCCCUGUCACAGCUCUCAGAGGCCCAUCUACAGUGUGAUCUUGUAAAGGCACAGCCUGAUCAACCUUGCACAAUGAUAUGGACAACUUGGAAGUGCAGAGGUGACAUAACGAGGGAGAAGCAGAAGAGGGGCUGAGAUUUUGGAAUAGAAAGAAUUCAAUGCAUGGAAGAAAGGUGGUGUAAUGGAUUAAAUGGAGGUCUCCAAAAAGAUACGUCCAUGUCCUAAUCCCCAGAACCUGUGAAUGUUACCUUUUUUUGAAAAAAGGUCUUUGCAAAUGUAAUUAAAGAUCUUGAGAUCAUCCUGGAUUAGCCAGGUGUGCCUUAAAUCCAAUGACAAGUGUCCUUGUACAAGACAGAAAAGGAGAAGACACACAGAGAAGGCAAUGCGAAGACGGAGACAGAGUGGAGUAGUGCGACUACAAGCCAGGGAAGCCAAGGAACGCCGACAGCCAUCGGAAGGUGGAAGAGGAGAGGGAGGGCUCCUUGCUAGAGCCUCCAGAGGGAAUGCAGCCCUGCUGAGACCUUGAUUUUGGAAUUCUGGGCUCCAGAAUGGUUAACCUGUGGAUGAUUCUCAUGUCAAUGGCUGAGAGCAAAAACAAAGUACCUAAUUCAGAUUCUGGAUUCUUCACAACCAACACAACCUGCGACGAAUGGGAAGAAGGUUAUGACCAGGGGACGCUCCACGCCUUUUUAUUGAGAAGCACCCUGGGCUACACCUCUCUUUCCCCCAGACUCUCACCAUACCUGCACUGGAACCCUCAUCAGGAACGGUGGUCAUGAGUUUGAUUCAUAUGUGCAAGGCAACCUUACAAGCCAUCUCUUGAAGAUAUUGGAGCCACAAGAUAAAAAGUGCUACAAUCCUUAAAUCAUUACUCAGAGGAAAGAAACCCAACAAUAUGGAGGACUCAUUUUGGACUCUUUGGUACCUAGAAAUGAAUGUCUAUUUGGUUGUGAACUGUGUUUGUUAUAGCAGCUAAUGUUGCCCUAACUAAUGCAAGUGUGCUUUCAUUUCCCUUGCCAGACCAGGAUUGCUUUAGGGAUAGAUAUGGAAAUCAAGCCUAGGUUAAACUGUGAGGGGCAUUUUCCUUGACCACAAAAAUUAGGUCUGGGGGAAUUACAUGGCCUGAUCUGGCCCAAAUAGAGAGAACACUAGAAAUUGUCUGAGAAUGUAUGAGAAUUGAAGAUAAAGAAGUCUUACAAAGCACCAGUGUCGGUAGCUGGUCUCACCUCUUGAUGCAGUAGGAGGUCUGUCCACAUGACUCCUGAGAAUCCUCCACCUUGUGCCCCGGUUAGUGUGCCUUCUGUCUUUCUAGGGAUUUUGCUCUGUUGAUUAUGCUCUACCUCUUAUGAUCUUCAACAUCUUCCACUCUCUCUGUCACCUCCCAUUAGCAUGCAGAUAUUUUCAUGUCUAUAUUAUUCUAUAAAACAAGUAACAAACUACUCUCAACUA